GAUGAACGCUGGUGGCGUGCUUAACACAUGCAAGUCGAACGGAAAGGCCCAAGCUUGCUUGGGUACUCGAGUGGCGAACGGGUGAGUAACACGUGGGUGAUCUGCCCUGCACUUCGGGAUAAGCCUGGGAAACUGGGUCUAAUACCGGAUAGGACGAUGGUUUGGAUGCCAUUGUGGAAAGUUUUUUCGGUGUGGGAUGAGCUCGCGGCCUAUCAGCUUGUUGGUGGGGUAAUGGCCUACCAAGGCGUCGACGGGUAGCCGGCCUGAGAGGGUGUACGGCCACAUUGGGACUGAGAUACGGCCCAGACGCCUACGGGAGGCAGCAGUGGGGAAUAUUGCACAAUGGGCGCAAGCCUGAUGCAGCGACGCCGCGUGGGGGAUGACGGCCUUCGGGUUGUAAACUCCUUUCGCUAGGGACGAAGCGUUUUGUGACGGUACCUGGAGAAGAAGCACCGGCUAACUACGUG
rnacentral:rRNA from 1 species